rnacentral:rRNA from 1 species
GUCGAGAGGCUUUGGCAAUGGGGGCAACCCUGACCAAGCGACGCCGCGUGGGUGAUGAAGGCCUUCGGGUUGUAAAGCCCUGUUGAGAGGGAAGAACCACUGUGAGGUUAACAGCCUCACGGUUUGACGGUACCUCUCGAGGAAGCUCCGGCAAACUCCGUGCCAGCAGCCGCGGUAAUACGGAGGGAGCUAGCGUUGUUCGGAUUUACUGGGCGUAAAGGGCGUGUAGGCGGCCUUGUAAGUCGGGCGUGAAAAACUCUGGCUCAACCAGAGACGUGCGUUCGAUACUGCGAGGCUUGAGUGCAGGAGAGGAAAGCGGAAUUCCUGGUGUAGCGGUGAAAUGCGUAGAUAUCAGGAAGAACACCAGUGGCGAAGGCGGCUUUCUGGUCUGUCACUGACGCUGAUGCGCGAAAGCCAGGGGAGCGAACGGGAUUAGAUACCCCUGUAGUCC